rnacentral:lncRNA from 1 species
AACAUAAAAAAUGGAAAAACUAAAUUAAACAUAUGUAAGAUUACCAUUUUUCACUAAAAAAAAGGUUUAUCUCCAUAACGUAACAUUACCAUUUUAUAAAAAAAGAAAAAAAACAUAAAUAUAACUAUUUGACUAUUUGUCCAAGUUCUUCUAUUAAACAUUGCCAUUUUACAUUAAAAAUGGAAAAAUACAUUAAAAUUUAAAC